rnacentral:rRNA from 1 species
CAGGACUCCGAGCGCAGUAGUAAAACCCUCGCUUUGGACUGUACUGGCGCGGCCCUGCCGUAAAACCCCCAACUUCUGAAAAUUUGACCUCGGAUCAGGUAGGAAUACCCGCUGAACUUAAGCAUAUCAUAAG